CUGCACCGCUCUGCUUGUUUAAAGAUAUUGCUCUUGGUCCUUUCGCUAACUCGCGUGUGAUCCAUCUGCUCUGUAUUUGAAUUGCACUCGGGAGACAUUUGAUUUGGCCUCGCAGCUGUAUCCAUAGCGAUUGAACCGAGAAUGUUGAGUUUUGUCGAUGGCUGGACAAAGUGCUCCGAGCACACACAGGACGCUUCUCGACCUGGUCCAAAGGGGACCAUACUUUCUGCAAAGUGGGCAGUGUCGUUUGUUACCAUACGGGGUUUCUUUUGGUCAGGGGGGUCAUUGCAGUCCUGGAUGCAUCGAUGUGGCAUCUGCAGAGAUAAACUGAGUAGCACAAGUUCUUCCCCUCGCUUGGUAAUCCAUCGACAUGAAAAACACUGUUAAUUACAAUAACAGGUCAGCACUGCCAUUAAAGCUGUGAAGGAAUUAAUGGAGGGAACCCUCCAGAAUGGCAGAGGGAAUUACCCUUCAGAGACCACCAGAGGGACGGAUCAAGGGACUGAGUGAUGGAGGGGACUCCCCAGGUCAUGUACUAAAGUCUUGCAAUUUUUAGGCCAAGGCUUGGCACAGGGCGGGUUGCUUUCUAGACUGCAGAUAAAAGACUAACUAAGUUUGGCCCAAUAGCCUGUUUCCAUCAUUAUAUGUACUUAUAUGAAUCCUCCUGAGAUCCAGCAGGGAAAAAAGUUCAAGUAUUUAAAAGGGUCUUGGAUGACAAAAACAUAUUGUAGUGAAAAUAUUUUUUAAAAUAUGUUUUUUUAUUGUCUCCUGUAGUGUAGAUUUCAGCUACAGUGAAUUGCCAGGUCUUAAUAAGAUAUUCCCUUGAUCAAUGUAACAUUACACCUCAACAAAGAAUCACCUCAAAAAUCUCUGAUGGGGCUAACUUGGGUUUACCAUACAGCAUCAAAAUUCCAGGUUGAAUAUGAUUGCAAGAUACACACACACACACACACACACACACACAAAGUCUGCAUGUUUUUUUAUAACAUUGGACAAUAAUAAAAUCCCCCAAGUCCCUCUGCACACCACCAGCAGUUAUCUUGGCACGAAAUUGACUUUUUCAUUUGUUUGGAUUAUAAAACAAACAAUCGCUUCCUCCCUUAUCUGCAGCUCAUUCAGCGGAGUGAAAAAUUCAAAUUGGGCUCGCGCCUGCUUUCGCUCCCUUCCCGGGGGGAUCGGCGAACGGAGUUACACUUAGCCGUGCGUGGCGUGAAACGGCUUUUCAAUUACGCGGGCCCGCCGCUCCCCCUCUCCCCGCGCCGCGGUCGCUCUCGGCUGCGCGCCAGGGCAGGAUACCGGGAGAGGAGAGUGGUGACAUCUUGCCUGCAGCUAAUGCAAGUCACAUUAGAGACAGCAGGGAAAAUGGAAUCCGAUGUCCUAAGAGUUGCGAUUUCACCUGAACGAUCGUCUGCAAAUGGGAUCUCUGUGCUCUGCCAUGGCAAUUCAGUCAGCUCAGAAGACUUGUACGGAGGAAGAAAUGAGAAGCUGGGUAGGGGCCUUGUGAGGUCAGUGCUGGCUGCCAGUUGGGGAUGUUCUAGAAGCUUCCAGAGGGCAGGUCUAAGAGAUACACAGAGCGUUCCAUCUGUCAUUUAAAAAACCUUGACUCAGUUAUUUGAAAUAAAUAAUAAAUUUUUACUGAAUUACUAUU